UACAACGUCACUGACCUGGUGGGAUAAC
rnacentral:piRNA from 1 species